AUUGAACGCUGGCGGCAGGCCUAACACAUGCAAGUCGAACGGCAGCACAGAAGAGCUUGCUCUUUGGGUGGCGAGUGGCGGACGGGUGGGUAAUGUCUGGGAAACUGCCCGAUGGAGGGGGAUAACUACUGGAAACGGUAGCUAAUACCGCAUAACGUCGCAAGACCAAAGUGGGGGACCUUCGGGCCUCACACCAUCGGAUGUGCCCAGAUGGGAUUAGCUAGUAAGUGGGGUAAUGGCUCACCUAGGCGACGAUCCCUAGCUGGCCUGAGAGGAGGACCAGCCACACGGGAACGGGGACACGGUCCAGACUCCUCCGGGGGUCAGCAGUGGGGAAUAUUGCACAAUGGGCGCAAGCCUGAUGCAGCCAUGCCGCGGGUAUGAAGAAGGCCUUCGGGUUGUAAAGUACUUUCAGCGGGGAGGAAGGCGGUGAGGUUAAUAACCUUGCCGAUUGACGUUACCCGCAGAAGAAGCGCCGGCUAACUCCGUGCCAGCAGCCGCCGUAA
rnacentral:rRNA from 1 species